GGGAACGUGACUCAGUGGUAGAGUGCUUGCCUUGCAUGCAUGAGGCCCUGGGUUCGAUUCCUCAGCACCA
rfam:Dipodomys ordii contig_28747, whole genome shotgun sequence.